AACGCGAAGAACCUUACCUACCCUUGACAUGCCACUAACGAAGUAGAAAUACAUUAGGUGCCCGUAAGGGAAAGUGGACACAGGUGCUGCAUGGCUGUCGUCAGCUCGUGUCGUGAGAUGUUGGGUUAAGUCCCGCAACGAGCGCAACCCUUGUCUCUAGUUGCUACGCAAGAGCACUCUAGAGAGACUGCCGGUGACAAACCGGAGGAAGGUGGGGAUGACGUCAAGUCCUCAUGGCCCUUAUGGGUAGGGCUUCACACGUCAUACAAUGGUGCAUACAGAGGGUUGCCAACCCGCGAGGGGGAGCUAAUCUCAGAAAAUGCAUCGUAGUCCGGAUCGUAGUCUGCAACUCGACUACGUGAAGCUGGAAUCGCUAGUAAUCGCGGAUCAGAAUGUCGCGGUGAAUACGUUCCCGGGUCUUGUACACACCG
rnacentral:rRNA from 1 species